rnacentral:ncRNA from 2 species
UAAUUGAAUACGGGGAGCUUAUGAAUAGGCUGAGAGGAAGUGAGAAAGCUUCGACCCGGAAACCUGAUUUGGAUAAUGCCAACGUAGGGACCAGCGAGAACAAUAGC